rnacentral:lncRNA from 10 species
GUCAGGACCAGCCAGAAACUGCGAAGCUGGGGUCGGGUUGGGGUGGUUACUCUGGGGUUUGUAGAAAGAAUUGUACGUUUGGAAUACUAGGACUUGGGUCCAGUACCAGAUGCACCAAUUAGUGUGACCUUUGAUAGGUCAAUUAACCUCCCUUGGCUUCCUUUUUCUAAUUUAUAAAAUUUAUUCUUGAUAUUCUUUGGAGGAGAAACCAGACCUACCAGUGCAGUUCUUCUCAAAAACUUCAGCGUAUGUGCGAUCACCAGCAGAUCUUGUUGAAAUACAGACUCUGCUUCAGUAGGCCUGCAGUGGGACUUGAGAGUCUGCACUUCUGACACACACCCAUGCAAGGCCAAGGCUCCUGGUUCAUGGACCACACGGCGUUCUAGUGCAGGGAUUGACUAACCAUGGUUUGAGGAUCAAAUCCAGCCUGCUGUUUGCUUUUGUAAAUAAAGUUUUAUCAGAACACAGCCGUGCCCGUUCAUUUAAAUAUUGCCUAUGGUGGUUUUCAUGCUAAGUGGACAGAGCUGAGUCGUUGCAUCAGAGACUGUAUAAUGCACCUAGCCUAAUUAUUUUAAUAGUUACUACAUGGCCCUUUGCAGAGAAGGUUUGCCAGCCCCUACUGUAAAGGACUGAGGAUUGGUCUGUGUGAGCCAAAAGAUCUGCAUUUCUAUCUGGGUUUGGCUAAGGGCAAGCCACUUCACCUUGCUGGUACUCACUUUCCUUAUCCAGGGAACAAAAUAAUAUCUACAUUUCCUUAUCCAGGGAACAAAAUCAUAUCUACAUUCCUAGGCAGCCUGUGAUUCUGGGAUUUCAGUAUUAUGUAGAAAACAUCACAGUUUCUAUAGAAAUAGGCAUCUGAGAACCACGUUGAAUGGCCUGCAUUUGGAAGCUGCAAAAACAUACCUGCCCUAACCUGGCAGAGUCUAGCAAGUCAGAUCCCGCCAGAUGCCAUGAGAGGUCUGCGGAAACAGACCACAGCUACUUUCUGAUGUAGAGUCAGUUGGGAAUAGAAAAGGGCUUGAGAGGAGAGAAGAGUGAGAAUUGGAGGCCGACCUCCUGAGCUCCAGUACAGGUGGAUGCUGGCAGAGGGGCCCUGGCACAGCGCACGCCAGCAUCACUCACACAAAUUCACUCUUGCUGAGAGACCAAUUCAAAAACAAUCCCCUAACUCACUGCUCCAUGUGCCCCUGACUGGGUGCAUUUGGUCAACCAAUAUUGACAAGCCCUUUUGAGGCCUCUGAGACUCUGCCAGGCACAGGGAUACAGAAGGGAUUAUGACAUCUGGGGCCUCCUGAGGGCCUCACAGUCUGAUGGGAGAAACACCAUGUAAAUAAAUAAUUAUAUGAGAGUUCCUCAAGCCAGUCGUGAAGGGAAACAUGUGACUCUGGGUCUCCAGCUUGGGCAACAGGUGAGACAUCAAUAAGGCAGGGAACAUGGGUACGGGGAGGAGGCAGUGUUUUUAGGAGGGGGAAGGAUGUGUAAAGAUGGGGAAGAUAAUGACUAGUUUGGGGCAUGUUGAUUUCAACGUGGGCUGCUUGAAGGACUAAAUGACAAAGCUGUGAUUUCCUGUGAAAAGCAAAACAGCGUCUCCGUAGGCCUGCAAAUGUUGAACGGGAAUGACAUGUAUGUUGCCAUGGUUACUCCCCAGAGCUAAGAAGAGUCCCAGUGCACACACCCAUAGUACUUCUGGGGCUCCCUAGGGGUCACCUGUCUUGCUCUGUCUCAGCCCACAGGAGAGACCUGGGCCAGAGAGGAUCUCUGUUAAAUGCAAACUUUUUAGGAACAUUUUUAUUUUCUCUCAACUCGGAAGAGUGGUGGCUGAUCAUUUCUCACUAUGACUGUCAAAUCUCCACUGAAUGGGAAAAUUGGGAAUCUACAGACCUGGACAGCUCCUGAACCCCUGAGGCCACAUUCUGGUAUGGCUUCAUAAAGGUGAAAAGAAAGCCAUGAGAAACAGUGAACUCGUGCUCACAAUUAUUUUGGCGUCUCAGCUGAUCUCUAGUUCCUCACCUGGGAGUAUGAAUCUGAGAUGGCUGAAUGGCAUCCCAUUCCCUUGCUUUGGGAUUCAGGGCAUAGUCCAUACAAUUAGUGAGAAUCCACAUGGGCACAGUGCACAGACAGAUUGAACCAUACGUGCUUGCAAAGUAGCAGAGCCAAGGUAUUGCCCUUCCCAGGUAAAGUGUUCACAUCUAGGAGGGCAGAUCUGAUGACUACACGUAUUUGCCUGAAGAGUGCUUGUGCCUGCUCUGCUCAGUUGGUUUGAGUGCUAGGCUAGUGAGGCCACGGGCAUGCCUAUGAGCUACACACUGGCUUGCUGGCCUUGCCUGGGCUCUGGGUAGCUAAGCAAUUCUUAGUACUUAGCAUAGUUCCUAAUUAUAUGCCUGUCUGUGGGGUUAUUUUAUUGAGGCCUGGCUCCCCCACACCCAGUGGCUAUAAAGACUAUGUUUGUUUUUGGUUUUGUUCACCGUUGUACCAUGGUGCCUGGCACGUGGUGGGGGCUUUGUAAGUAUGUGUUAAAUAAACUGACAGGAAGCCUGUCCCCACUGCUGGGAAAAUGACUCAGAGUGAACACUACCGAGGGUAUCUGUCUCCCUGUCUUUGUUUACCAAGAAUUGCAAAAAGUAUUAUCUAGUGAGAUCCUGGGGAGAUUUUGUGCUACCCAUUUAUAACCUUCUCUAGUGGCUGGGUGUGGUGGCUCACACCUGUAAUCCCAGCACUUUUGGAGGCCGAGGUGGGCGAAUCACCUGAGGUCAGGAGUUCGAAGCUAGUCUGGCCAGCAUGGCGAAACCUAGUCUUUACUAAAAAUACAAAAAUUAGCCAGGCACAGUGGCAGGCACCUGUAAUCCCAGCUACCUCGGAGGCUGAGGCAGGAGAAUCACUUGAACCUUGGAGGCAGAGGUUGCAGUGAGCCGAGACUGCACCAUUGCACUCCAGCCUGGGCAAAAAGAGAGAAACUACAUCUCAAAAAAAUAAAAUAAAACAUUUUCUAGGACACACCAUUUGCAGUUCAAAUAGGAUUGACCAAGAAAUCACUGAGAGGAAAGUUGCUUUAAUAUCAGACAGCCAGAGGGGCCAGGUGUGGAUAACACAGGCUCGAGACCACUGCUGGCUUGAGACUGAAGGCUGGAUAGGAGCAGGCAUGAGGAUCAGUGAAGAGUCUGAGGAAAUAUGCAGGAAGCCUCUGCAUUUAUAUUUUAGGCUGGGGCCAGAGAGAAACAAUGGCAUAGCUCCCCAGGACUUUGCUCCUCAACCCCAGGGGGACCGACCCAGCCUUGUGCCAUGCCCUUGGUGCUUCCUCAGGAUCCAAGACUGGGCACCCUCCCCCUCCCCUUGCUUCACUGGACAGCCAGCUCAGGUGGAACUCCACAUGGGCAGCAAUAGCCAAACAUGUGUAGGCACAGAGCCAAUACAUAACCCUAGAAUUACAGGUUGUUAGAGCCACAGGCAAUUUAAAGAUAAUAGAUGAAAUCCUGAAGCCGUAGUCAAGAGAGUGAAAUUCUAAAUUUGGCCCCUUUCUUAUAUUAUAAAUACCUUCCCCCACACCUAACAAUAAUUCUGAUUACUGCUGACCAAGGGCUCACCAGGUUCCAGGCACUCUGCUCAGUCCCUACAUGGAUGAUCUCAUUUAACCCUCAAAACAAGGCUGAGGGAGGGAGACCAUACUUGUUUCCAUCUUGUAAGUGUUGAAAUGGAGGCUGGAGAUGUCCAGGGACUCAUCUAAUCCAUGACUGGUGCUGAGAAGCUCUGGGUCUUCUGAAUUCUAGUUCAAUGGUGAGUCCCUACUCUACCCUCUCUCAAUUGCAAGUCCUCUAAGCUAUAUUUGAAUUACCUAUUUGAAAAUGGCCAGCACAUCUUACUUAUCAAAUGAGUUUAUAAUAGCUCCAUGAAAUUAAAUUCUCAGCCUCACAAAUACUCACAUGUAACUCUAAGAUUUUUUUUUUUCUAAAGAUUUUUCACUAAGUACCUGUUCCUGUCCUACUCCAGAAUCUACUGCCCACUGGCAAACUGGAGGCAAGAUUCUUUCCCCUCUCUCCCCUCUUCCAACAAACGUUUCUGUAGAACACAUGUGAGCCAGGCAGGGUGGGAGGCUUUGAAGGGGACACAAAGAUAAAGAACAUGUGAUCCUCAUUUUCCAGGUAAUGGCAGGGAAAACAUAUGAUGAGAACACACAUGCCCGUGACACAGGCAGACUUCUGAUCAGUGUACUGAUGAGAUAGAAGGCAAAAUUAAGUGCUCAGGGAAUUCACAGGCUGGGCUCGCUUCCAGCAGCCAUUAGGUAGGCCUUGCAGAGGGAGCAGAAUUUCAACAAGGAGUUGUGGAGCCUUUCCUCGGACUGGGUCUAAAUACUUCCUAUUUCCUGAGUGCGUGGCUGAUGCAAGACACACAGUAGACUCCCUAACGCAUUUUCUAAACACUAGCCACUUGGGCUAGGCUAGGAGUCAUGGGCUUGAAUCUUGGUUCUGAUGCCACCACUGGACGUAAAUUAUAUAAAUCCUACCCUUUCUCUGGGCCUUGAUUUUCCUCAACUAUGAAAUAGGGAUAUGGAGGAGGCUGGGUAUAACCUUGCUCAUGGGUUUCGGGUUAGGAUUACACUAAGUUAAUACAUGCAAAAUUAUUUGCAAGCCAAAAUGAAAUAGAAAUACAAGAGACUGUUUCUCACUAUUCUUAUUGUUGUUACAAAAACUAAAAAAUAGCAAAUUCCAUAUGCUUCUCAUGUAGCUAAGAACCUUUCUUGGGGGGGGGCGGGGUAACUACUUGAGGCCAGGCACUGGGGAUACAAAGAUUAAUAACAACCAGCCUCCAUCCUUGGAAUCUGAAAGGUCUAGGAAAGGAGAUAGUAGGUACAAUUGGUAAUAUAAGUUUAAUGUGCUACGACAAAGGCUGGGCUAGAGUUUGGCAGGAGCUCUAGUCUUUCUUUUUUUUUCUUUCUUUCUUUCUUUUUUUUUUUCUUGAGAUGAAGUUUCGCUCUUGUUGCCCAGGCUGGAGU